rnacentral:rRNA from 1 species
AGAGUUUGAUCCUGGCUCAGAGUGAACGCUGGCGGCGUGCUUAACACAUGCAAGUCGAACGAGAACGGAACUAGCUUGCUAGUUUGUCAGCUAAGUGGCGCACGGGUGAGUAAUAUAUAGUUAAUCUGCCCUAAAGAAGAGAAUAAUUGUUGGAAACGACAUGUAAUGCUCUAUAUGCCUUUAAGACAAAAGUCUGCAAGGGAAAUAUUUAUAGCUUUGGGAUGAGACUGUACGGUAUCAGUUAGUUGAUGAGGUAAUGGCUCACCAAGACUAUGACACCUAACUGGUUUGAGAGGAUGAUCAGUCACACUGGAACUGAGACACGGUCCAGACUCCUACGGGAGGCAGCAGUGGGGAAUAUUGCACAAUGGACGAAAGUCUGAUGCAGCAACGCCGCGUGGAGGAUGACACAUUUCGGUGCGUAAACUCCUUUUAUAUGAGAAGAUAAUGACGGU